CACAGCAGCAUUACUGACCUGCCAGCACACCUGAUUCAGUGCAAGAAUACAUUACAAAGCAGCAGCUCUCAGUAUGUAAUCCUCAGCACUGAGACCAUUCUGCAACCAUACGGAUAUGGCCAAAAAUAAGUGUGCUUCCCAAGGCCUCUGAGACCACAGCCACAUGGACACACUGCAUUCCUGACUGAUCCUACCAGGGUAAAGGAACGCACACCAAGAAUAUGGGGAAUUCUAAACAAGCAUUUUAAGAAAUAGUCCAACCAUGAAAUCAAUUUCUCAGCUACCUGCAAUUUGUUAUGUGUUAAAAACCAACAACAGCAAUAAUAAAGCACAGCAAGCUCCAGCUAACAGGUCUAUAGGCUCUAAGAGAAUAACUUGUCCUUUAUUACUAUAGGGCAGUACAUCCAGAGCACCAUGGUGGAUGUCUCUUCCAAUUACUGUCAAAGCUUUUGUAAAAAGAAAACUAACAGCAUGCAAAGCCACAAAGCGAGUGCUAAUCUAUCCCCAUUUCUACUCCCACAGUUCCAACACUAUUUUUAUGCUUUCGUUGGGCGUGGGAUGGAGAGAAUGGCACCAAGGGAACGGUCUUCAGCUUUGAAAGAGCUUGCUUUCCAUUGCUCUGCCAUUUGUUCUUUGAUUUGACCAUUUCUGAGCCUGUAAGCUACAGUUCUGCUUGUUAACAGUUUGGUAGGCAGGGUCCAAAUCGGGGACACCCCAGAUGCUUACUCAAAAGGGCAAACUGUGAGUGAAGGGAGAAGAAGGCUGAUGAACACAGGGCUCCUUGCUCUGUACAGCAAGAGCUCAGCAGGCAGUACAGCAGCAACAGCAGUUCAGUGUAUGCUACAAUCUCCCUGUCAUACGUUCACAAGUUGUAAUCAGAAUUAUCAGAGAUUCAGAUAACCCACUGAGCCCUUCAAUUGUGAGAAAGGGAGUCCUGGCCAGGAGUUGCACGGCCAAAUUUAACAGCAGGACUUUCACACAGCCUGCUGACCUCACAGGGAUCAAGCUGCAAAUUCUCUGGGGGAGGCUAAAAGAGGAGGAAAAAAAAAAUAAAAGGGACUCUUUUCCUAAGAACAAACCAAAUAAUUAUCCCUCAAGAGCAUGAAGCCAUGUUUGCACGGGAGAAGCAUCAAAUGCCAACCAUUUACUUAAAACAUACAAAGGCUUCAGGCAUUAAAAAGUGAAAACCAGAGACAUCUGAAGAACAUUUGCCCAUUGGUUUCCGUCUAUUAGCACAGCACUCUUCAUAGAGCACGCACAGACAUGUUCCAUGGGUGUCUCAGUUUCAAAGGGAGGGAGAGAUGAGGCAAAGCCCUGACUGUGGUGUACAAGGACUGAUUUUGAGAGCAAACGUUAAUUUUUAACUGUCCCAGCACUGCUGAAACAAUGCACAUAAAAGCGGCGCAUUCCCAGUGAGCAGCUGUGUGAAGGUUUCGGAGUGGUCUCUCCUGGGACAGAGCUCAAGCUGGCCCAGAAAAACCAUGAAAAUCUAUCCUGCAUGAUCACCCAACUCAGGAGCCGAAUUCAAUAUUCCCUGCUACAAUCCAGUGUCCUCAGACUGAUCGAUCAGCUCUUUCAAGACAUUCAGCCAUCCUUGCUGAGGUCCGAUAUUGUCUGAGAUAGCAGAAACGUGAGCAGGAUCCAGCUUGGCAGGCACAGGAUCACCCCACCAGGCAGGCAGACCUUCCCAGCCUCCUGCUUCCAGAAACAACCAUGGCAGAACCACACAACAGAGGAUUGGCUCCAUGAUCAUCAACACCAUCAGCUGAACCGUGCUUUGCACUGAGAUGAGCCAUGCAGCUCCCAAACAGCACUUACCUCCUGUCUGCUAAGUACCAGCACUCAGCCAUUACAGACACAGCACUGCUCCACGUUCUCUGGGUUUCAGAGGGAGACAGAACGCUCAGAAAGGUUACAUCAAAGCAAGAGCCAGUUGUCCAGAUCAUCAGCUACAGCCAGCAGUCCUCAUCACAGGAAAGCCAUCACCAAAGCACUGAGAAUAAAGAAUCUCCACUGAGAAUCAGUGGGAAGAAUUUCACUGAAAACCUGGCAAAUUCGACAUGUGAU